GAUGAAGAACGUAGCGAAAUGCGAUAAGUAGUGUGAAUUGCAGAAUUCAGUGAAUCAUCGAAUCUUUGAACGCACAUUGCGCCCUUUGGUAUUCCUUAGGGCAUGCCUGUUCGAGCGUCAUCUAAACCUUCAAGCCCUGCUUGGUGUUGGGUGCCUGUCCCGCCUCUGCGCGUGGACUCACCUCAAAUCCAUUGGCGGCCCCCGCGUCGGCCACGAGCGCAGCAGAAACGCGAACUCGUGAGCCCGUCCGGGCGGCUCCCAGAAGCUAACCCCCAAUUUUUGACCUCGGAUCAGGUAGGGAUACCAGCUGAACUUAAGCAUAUCAAUAAGCGGAGGA
rnacentral:misc_RNA from 1 species